AAACUGCGAUACGUAGUGUGAAUUGCAGAAUUCAGUGAAUCAUCGAAUCUUUGAACGCAAAUUGCGCUACUGGGUAUUCCCGGUAGCAUGCUUGGCUGAGUAUCAUCUGGAUAAAUCACAAAUAUUUUUUUAUUUGUGGAAAUGAGGAUUGUCACAUUAAAGCCCCUUUUCGUUUAUUCAAAAAGAAUUUUAAUGCGUCCCUUUAAAUUCAGUAUUGGUGGGAAAGGAUAUCUGACUGUUCCUUUUGUACCAACUAGUGUGUUAAUUGUCCUUUUUGGACAUUUUUUUAUACGCUAUGUUGAGAACAGGGACACUUUUUUAAAGUUAGUAUCUACACAAAUUUCUGGCCAUUCAUAAAUCAAAAUCUCUUUUGAAAUUUUGAUCUCAGCUCAAGCAAGAC
rnacentral:misc_RNA from 1 species